CUUUUGUGCAGGCAUCUCGCUGUCUGCGCUGGGCACGGAGCGGCGCGCGCGCGCCCGUCUUUCCCUCGGCGGCCCCCGCGGCUCGGACCCGGGCCGGCAGACAGGCCAUCCAUCAUCCGCCCUCCUCCCGCGGAGCGCCGCAGCCGCCGCGGCCAAUCCGGCGGCAGGUGGGGCCGCACCUGCGCGACAGCCCGCCGCUUCCCUCCGCUCCCUUCGCCGCGCCUCGCGUGCUAGCGGUGCCCUUGUGAGCCACUGCGUUCUCCAAGGCCAGAACGGGACAGAUGGAGAAAUUGAGAUGAGAGCUCAUCCACAAGAUUACCCAUCAAUGAGCACCAAUAGCAACCAAAUCCACUAGAAGACUGGGAGCUUUUAAGUCAAGAAACUUACAUCAGUAUCAUCAUUCCAAGAAGCGGUAUCCAAGCUGUUUUAUCGAAAGUGCGCAUGGGAGGCAGAUUUUGACUCCAAAAGUCCAGGAUGGGGCCUGAGGUUCUGCAUGUCUAACAAUUUCCCAGCUGAUGCCAAAGCUGCUGAUCAGAGUCUACACCUUAAGAAAUAAGACUCUGAGAAUUUAUAGAAACAAACAUUAGAAGGCAGGAAUGUGGAGAGAAGAAAGCUACCUGACAAGGGAAUCUCAGGAUACAAGGAAAACACCAAGAAGUCCCCAUGAGUCCCUACAGCCACAAUAAAUUGAAUUCUGCCAAAAAUCUUAAUAAGCUUGGAAGAAGACCUUCAGCUCCUGAUGAGAACCCAGCCAGAAACAAGAUGAGAACCCAGAAACAAGAUUUUCAUCUUAUUUCAACCUGAGCAGAGAACCCAGAGGAGCCCUGGCCAGAUUUUUGGUCUACAGGAUUGAGAAGACACCUGCCUGAGGGUCUUAUAGCUAAUGGACUGCAGAAGACUUGAGUCAUCAUUCAAAUUCAGUAGCCAUCCUCUGAUGUCCAGUUGAAGAUUGGUGAUUCCAGAAUAGCUCGCAUUGCCCCAGUUGACUUGCCACACAGCUUCUUUCAGGACUUGAAAAUGUCCUAGCCACCCCCAUCUUACCUCCUACUUCCAAUGCCUUUUAAGAUAGAAAACAAAAAACAAAACAACAAAAAAACACCAGCCACCCUUGUGGGUUAGAUAAUCCUACAUCAAGGUGAAUUCUUGAUAACCAGUUCUGUUCUUCCUUAUGUCUUGUAAACAUGCUAAUUAGAAGGAGCUUGUGUUUGAAGAUCAAGGGAGGAAGAAUUCUGAAGCCAGGGCUAGCCUUAGGGGACAUAACUCCUUCCAGUCACUUCCUGAAUUUUUUGGUACCUGGCUUUUGAGAGUCCUCCAAAGUGAGAAUUUCAUGACAUGUAACCUCUCAACACCUGCAUUUUAAAAAAUUGUCCAAAAUACCGCAGAUACCACAGAAAAGUCCAAAACUUAAGUUUUUCCCUCCACUCAGAGCAUCUUAGCAACAUACUAACCAUAAGACUCUAAGCGCUCUUACCCUCAAUGCAAUUCUCACUGAAUAUCCUGUCAGGAGAACUCUACCUCUCUUCCAUGUUAUUAAGGUUAUUGUUCUUUGCAAGGUGUACACAACACAAAUAUAUUUCUUGGUGAAUGAACUCACUCUCAAAGACUGCUGUCCUUGGGGAUAUAGCCAACAUGCCAUAUCCACAACAUAGGUCUUCUUUACAGUCCUGUUGAAACAUGUAAGAUCAGCUACUAAGUCCCUGCAUCUCAGACAGGAACUUAAUAGAGUACAUUUAAAAAAAAAAUUCAGAAGUAAUUAAAACAAAUUGCAUACAAGCCACCUGUUUAGAAAGUUCAUAAAUUUUAUGCAAUUAUUUAUCUCUUUAUUUUUUCUGAAAUCAAGAGCAGAAUGUAUCCAAGUGAAACUAAAAGAGCGAGGUCAAGGGGAAACAACACAGGGCUUGUGGAGUCAUAAAUAUGUAUUAAAGCAGCAGAGUUAAUUUUGUCCCAAGUUCCAUAUUGGCCAGGAAAAAAGAAACAAGAUCAGCAGAGUUAACAGCUCUCAACCUGAAUAUGCCUCAGAAUUUCUAGGAGGACUUAAGUAAUGAGAUUCCUGGGUUUCUACAUGGACCAACUCAAUCAAACUCUUCAGGAGACAGCUGCUGUUGUUAGACUGUGUCUCCCAAAAUUCUUGUGUUGGAAACUUAGUUCCCAAUGUAAUGAUACUGGCAGGUGUGGCCUAGUGGGGGGUGUUUAGAUCAUGAGGGCUUCAGCCUCAUGAAUGGAUUAAUGUUGAUAUCUCAGGAGUGAGUUUCCUCUUGCUCUCUGUAGCCCUCUCUCUUGCCACAUGAUGACUUCCACCAGGUUAUGACUCAACAGGAAGGCCCUCACAAGAUGUGGAACCUCAAUCUUAGACUUCUCAGCCUCCAGAAGUGAGCCAAAUAAAUUUCUGUUCAUUAUACAUUACUUAGUCUGGAUUAUUCUGUUAUAAGGGCACAAAACAGACUAGUACACAAUAUGUGUGUGCUUUUUACAUCAGAUGAAUCUCAUGGUCAGUUAAGUCUGGAAAUCACUUGUCUAAAUGAGUUGCGUUUGGUUUUUCCUAAGAAAUAUGCUGUCAGUUCCUCAAGAGAAGCAAAAUAUACCAGCCCUUAUAUUUCCUUUAAGAAGACUCACCUAAUUUAGGUCAUAUAUCUCAAAGUGUUAUGGGGCAAGAUAUAUUCAACACUGUAUUCAGUAUGGUAAGCUUCAUUGAAUAAAUUUUCAGAUGCUUUGAAUGAAGUUGCG
rnacentral:lncRNA from 1 species